UUUGAGCCGAGGGGCUUUGCGGAAACACUAGAUCGGCGUCGAUCGGAACCGUGCAAGAAGCCCGCACCACGUGAAGGACUGACUGAAGCGUGAUGAAUACUGAGCUCAUUUGCAAUGAGCAGUCAGGCAGUAGUAAG
rnacentral:ncRNA from 1 species